rnacentral:sRNA from 1 species
UAAUUGCUGGUACAGUGGUCUCACCAUUU